rnacentral:rRNA from 1 species
UACGAAGGGGGCGAGCGUUGUUCGGAAUCACUGGGCGUAAAGGGCGCGCAGGCGGCGCGGCAAGUCAGGCGUGAAAGCCCCGGGCUCAACCCGGGAAUGGCGUUUGAGACUGCCGUGCUGGAGUUCGGGAGAGGAGCGUGGAAUUCCCAGUGUAGAGGUGAAAUUCGUAGAUAUUGGGAAGAACACCGGUGGCGAAGGCGGCGCUCUGGACCGAGACUGACGCUGAGGCGCGAAAGCGUGGGGAGCAAAC